CGCUCGGUAGUACAACGGUUAGUGCGUCCGUAUCUGCUGAGAUUGUGACACACAGAAAGUAGGGUGGAAGAUCCCCGUUCGAUUCGGGGUCGGGCGA